rnacentral:rRNA from 1 species
UACGAAGGGGGGCUAGCGUUGUUCGGAAUUACUGGGCGUAAAGGGUUUGUAGGCGGUUACACAAGUCAGUGGUGAAAGCCCGGGGCUUAACCCCGGAAUUGCCAUUGAAACUGUAUAGCUAGAGAGUGUUAGAGGAAAGUGGAAUUCCUAGUGUAGGAGUGAAAUCCGUAGAGAUUAGGAGGAAUAUCGAUGGCGAAGGCAGCUUUCUGGGACAUUUCUGACGCUGAGAAACGAAAGCGUGGGUAGCAAACAGG